AUUGAACGCUGGCGGCAUGCUUUACACAUGCAAGUCGAACGAGUGGCGCACGGGUGAGUAAUACAUCGGAACGUGUCCUAUCGUGGGGGAUAACUGAUCGAAAGAUCAGCUAAUACCGCAUACGAUUGGGGCGGCAGAUGCCCGCUUAGCUAGUUGGUGAGGUAAAGGCUCACCAAGGCGAAGAUCGGUAGCUGGUCUGAGAGGACGACCAGCCACAUUGGGACUGGGAUACGGCCCAGGCUCCCACGGGAGGCAGGAGGUGGGAAAUUUCGGCAAGGGGGGGAACCCUGACCGAGCAACGCCGCGUGGGGGAUGAAGGCUUUCGGGUUGUAAACCUCUUUCGCUAUCGAACGGGUAGGUGGAGAAGAAGCGCCGGCUAACUACGUGCCAGCAGCAGCGGUAAUUC
rnacentral:rRNA from 1 species